rnacentral:rRNA from 1 species
UACGGGGGGAGCAAGCGUUGUUCGGAUUUACUGGGCGUAAAGGGCGCGUAGGCGGUCAGCACAAGUCAGGUGUGAAAUCCCCCGGCUCAACCGGGGAAUAGCGCUUGAAACUAGGUGACUGGAGUGAGGUAAGGGUACGCGGAACUUCUGGUGGAGCGGUGAAAUGUGUAGAUAUCAGAAGGAACGCCGGUGGCGAAAGCGGCGUACUGGGCCUUGUCUGACGCUGAGGCACGAAAGCUAGGGAAGUGAACGGG